AACACAGAGUGAAACACAGAGUGAAAAGUGCGUAUUUGAGUGACUUUAAAUAUUAAGUGAUAAGUGAGUGUGUGAGAAUAAACACUGAGUGAUAAGUGAGUUUGUGAGAAUCAGAAAUGGCAGAAUCCAGCAACUUUGCAGCUCCAAGCAUUCUGAAAUUUGAUGGUGAUUAUGAGCAUUGGAACAUGCUUAUGGAAAAUCUCUUACGCUCCAAAGAGUAUUGGAGUGUUAUUGAGACCGGGUUCGUUGAACCUGCAUUUGGCGAAGUUUUAAAUAACGCACAGAAGAAAGCACUAGAGGAAACAAAGCUGAAAGACUUAAAGGUAAAGAAUUACCUCUUUCAGUCCAUUGACAAGUCCAUUCUGAAGACAAUUACUCAGAAGAACACAGCAAAGCAGCUAUGGGACUCCAUGAAGAUCAAAUAUCAAGGCAACGCAAGGGUCAAGCGAGCUCAACUUCAAAUUUUUCGCAGAAAUUUUGAAGUACUGGAAAUGAAAUCAGGGGAAUCUGUCACACAUUAUUUUGGAAGAGUAAUGCUAGUAGCAAAUGACAUGCGCAAUUUGGGAGAAAACAUACCAGAUGAAAAGAUUGUGGAGAAGAUUCUGCGCACACUUACUGAGAAAUACAACUACAUCGUUUGUUCAAUUGAGGAGUCAAAAGAUAUCAGCCAUCUUUCAGUUGAUGAAUUGCAGAGUUCACUACUUGUUCAUGAACAAAAGUUCAAACGAAAUGACACUGAUGAUCAUGCACUGAGAAUCUAUGAUGAUAGAUUCAGUGGCAGAGGCCGUGGCAGAAACAAUUAUAGAGGAAGGGGCCGAGGUGGAAGAGGAUCAUCAUUCAACAGAGACAUGGUGGAAUGUUUCAAGUGUCACAAACUUGGACACUUUCAGUAUGAGUGUCCAACCAUGAACAAAGCAGCACAUUAUGCAGAGCUAAACGAAGAAGAUGAGAUGCUGCUAAUGUCAUAUGUUGAUUGUCAACAUGAAUAUCCAACUUUACAAAAGGCAGUGGAGCUACAUGAAGAGGAUGAGAUGUUACUAAUGGCCUAUGUCGAGUUACAUAAAACAACUCGCAAUGAUGCAUGGUUCCUGGAUUCAGGAUGUUCUAAUCAUAUGUGCAGCUACAGAGGUAUGUUCUCCUAUUUGAUGACAAUUUUACACAUUCAGUCAAACUUGGAAAUAAUAGCAGAAUGGAUGUUAUAGGCAAGGGUACAUUGAAGCUAUUGCUAAAUGGUAUUAGACAUAUUGUCAAUGAUGUAUACUAUGUUCCUGAGCUUAAAAAUAAUCUUUUAAGCUUAGGUCAACUUCAAGAGAGGGGUUUAGCAAUAUUAAUUAAAGAUGGGGUUUGUAAAAUUUACCAUCCUGAGAAGGGCCUGAUCAUUCAAACUCAGAUGAGUGCAAACAGGAUGUUCAUCCUUCUGGCACAACCACAAGAUCCAUUACCUGCACAGAUUAAGAAUCAUCAGAAUCAGGAUCACUGUCUCAACACUACUGCCCAGAAUCCAUCAUACCUUUGGCACAGACGAUUUGGGCACUUAAGCUAUAAAGGUUUACGAACUUUGCAGUGGAAAAAAAUGGUGCAUGGACUGCCCAAAUUUUCUGCCCCAACCGUGACCUGCACCGAUUGCCUCAAUGGCAAGCAACACAGAGAGAUUAUGUCAAAAAUCAGCAAUUGGAGAGCAACUGUGCAAUUACAACUCGUUCAUGCUGAUAUCUGCGGUCCUAUCAAUCCUAUGUCUAACAGUGGUAAAAGAUAUAUUCUGUGUUUUAUUGAUGAUUUCAGUCGCAAAUCAUGGGUGUUUCUUUUGACAGCAAAAUCAGAGGCAUUUAAUUAUUUCAAGCAGUUCAAAAUUAUGGUUGAAAAAGAAAUUUCGAAAUGUAUUAAAUGCAUAAGAACUGACAGGGGAGGGGAGUUUACCUCUAAUGAAUUUUCUGAUUUCUGUCGAGAUGAAGGAAUCAAACGCCAGCUCACCACAGCCUUCACCCCACAGCAAAAUGGGGUUGCAGAGAGGAAAAAUCGAACUGUGAUGAACAUGGUCCGAUCAAUCCUCUCUGCCAAAGGGAUGCCGAAGACCUUCUGACCCGAAGCUGUGAAUUGGGCCAUCUAUGUGCUCAAUCGAUGUCCUACCUUUGCCUUGACAAAUUUGACUCCUCAGGAAGCAUGGAGUGGAGUCAAACCCUCUGUGGAUCAUUUUCGAAUUUUCGGGUGUUUGGCUCAUGUACACAUACCCGAUGUCAAGAGAACAAAGCUUGACAACAAAAGCUUUCCUUGUGUUUUUUUGGGCAUGAGCGAAGAAUCGAAAGGGUACAGGUUAUUUGACCCUGUCAAAAAUAGGGUUGUGGUCAGCAGGGACGUAAUUUUUGAAGAAGAUAAACAGUGGGAUUGGGCUGUUUCAUAUGCUGAUCAAAUAUCUUUUGAUUUAGUCUGGGGUGACACUGACAAUGGUGACCUUGGUGUAAGGGAAGGUAACGAUGAAGAAAGAAGAGAACUUGGUGAUGACAGUGUGGAAAAUUUUGAGGAAGAAGCAGAAGAACUUGUCUCUGUGGAAGAAAGGCGUGAUG
rnacentral:lncRNA from 1 species